GAGUUUGAUCGUGGCUCAGGACGAACGCUGGCGGCGUGCCUAAUACAUGCAAGUCGAGCGAGCGGAACUAACAGAUUUACUUCGGUAAUGACGUUAGGAAAGCGAGCGGCGGAUGGGUGAGUAACACGUGGGGAACCUGCCCCAUAGUCUGGGGAUACCACUUGGAAACAGGUGCUAAUACCGGAAUAAAAAAGCAGAUCGCAUGAUCAGUCUUUUAAAAAGGCGGCGUAAGCUGUCGCUAUGGGAUCGGCCCCGGGUGCAUUAGCUAGUUGGUAAGUAAAGGCUUACCAGGCGAUGAUGCAUAGCCGAGUUGAG
rnacentral:rRNA from 1 species